rnacentral:tRNA from 1 species
UCCUCGAUAGCUCAGUUGGUAGAGCAGGUGACUGUUAAUCACCUGGUCGCAGGUUCGAGUCCUGCUCGGGGAG